GUCAAGAUGGCCGAGUGGUUAAGGCGCUGCACUCGAAAUGCAGUCUCCUCUGGAGGCGUAGGUUCAAAUCCUGCUCUUGACG